GCGAGGAGUGUACGCUCGAGGCUCGUACAGUGACGGCCAGUGAAAUAAAUGGCAAGUGGCAAGUAAUUAAACUGCUACCAACCGUCCAGUAGUGUAAUUAAUUAAUAAAACUGAUGGAAAUUUUUAGGCUUUCUGGUCAAGUAGAUAAAGAAAACAACUCUGCCCCACCACUCGCUGUUAACCAGUUACGUACAUCAGUUUCUUCAAUGGAGUUCCUUCAUUCAGUAGCUUGUCACUUUGUCACAGUAGUUGCCAGAUUCGUUUGCCAAGCGGACCACCUGCUUCGCUGAAGUUUGGGGACAAGCGAAAUUUCUCGUCCAUUCGUACACGUACGUACACACAGUGGCUCACGAAAGUAUUCGAACGCUUACACUUACAAACUUCAAUUAAUAAAAUGAGGUGUACUAAACCAAUUUGUUCAAACAAUUUGGUGUUGUCUCGCAAAAGUAUUCGAGCGCUGUAACACUGUUGGUAGCUUCUCAUCUUCCUUCGCACCGAAUGUAAACAUCAUUGCUAAAUGAAAAUAUUGGUACGUUCACUUGAUGUUAGGAUAUGGUUUCAGCAACAGUAACGUAAAAGCGUGCACAAUAGUAUUUAAAAUGAAUACCAAAAAGUCUGAAAGAAAAGUGUGAAAGAGGAAUAAUAUUCCCAUUACAUGAGGAUAGCCAAUCAUAUAACGAGAUUGCUGGAAUUGCGAACAGAAGUAAGUGCAGGAUACAUUAUAUGAUAAAAAAGUCAAAAAAUGAGGGAACACUUCGAAACAAAGCUCGACCAAGUCGACCAAAGAAAUUGACUGGAAGAGAGGAGAAAGUUAUCAUUGGCGAAUUAAAAAAAAAUGCUACUACAUCCGCUCAACUCGCAAGUAUGGUAGCUGAUAUGGUUCAUAAAGAAGUUCACCCGGAAUUACGUCGACGAAUCCUACGAAACAAUGAUUUUCAUGGCAGAGUACCGCGAAAGAAGCCAUAUAUUAAUGCGGUAAAUCAAAAAAAAGAUUGACUUUUGUAAAAACCUAUAUUGAUAAAGAAAAUUCUUUUUGGGACAAAGUCAUCUUUUCGGACGAGUCAAAGUUUAACAUUUUUGGCUCGGAUGGUCAAAAUUAUAUGUGGAGAAAACCAAAUACGGAAUUGGCAAUUCGACAUUUACAUCAAACAGUGAAACACGGAGGCGGAUCGGUCAUGGUGUGCGGGUGCAUGACUGCCAGUGGCAAGGGAAAUAUUUAUUGCUGGAACACUUGACAAAUAUAAGUAUUUAAAUAUUUUAAAAAAUAACCUUAAAGAAAGUGGCCGUAAAUUAGGAUUAUCGUAAGAUUUCAACUUUCAACAAGAUAAUGAUCCUCAGCAUACUACUAGAAUUGUCAAAGAAUGGAUCGUAUAUAACACACCACACAUAUUAAUUACUCCACAGGAAAGUCCAGAAAUAAAUCCGAUCGAAAAUUUAUGGGCUGAAAUCGGAAAAAGAUGAAAUAAAUUUCAGACGAUUUCAAAGCAAGUAUUGAAAGAUAAAAUUAUAGAAAUAUGGAACUCCGUUGAGUGUAGUUUUACAAAAUCAUUGGUUUACAGUAUGGAACGUCGAUUGAGACACACUAUUGCCGCUAAAGGUGGUCCAACAAAAUAUUAAUAUUAAAUAAUUUAAUAAUAUAUGUAGCGUUCAAAUA